UCCACCAUCCAUUUCGGGGAUGGUCCUUAAGGUUUUUCCGUUCCGAAAAUUUCCCACUUAGUCCACCAUCCAUUUUGAUGUUCCUAAGCCGCACGUUUCUAUGCGAUAGUUAUGAUGAUGAUACAUACAUAUGUAUUGUAUUUGAUUAUAAAAUAAUAAUAUUAAAAUACAAUUUGUUGUUUGCUAUUACUUUUGGAGCUGUGCUGUGCUGAAGCAUGAACCCAAAUUAGUUUGGCAUGGCUGUUUUAACCAGCGGCGACUCCAGUACCCUUCGUAGGAUGCAGCGCUCAAACAUUUUGCCAAAAGUUGACAAGAGACUAAUUGGUCUAUGUUUGUUGAGGUCUUCCGGUGGCUUUCCUGGCUUUGGCAACAUGAUUAUGUGGGCACAUCUCCAGGCUUUGGAAGAGUAUACUAAUCUUAGCGACGCGUUAAAGAUUAGCAACAGAUACAGAAUCGCUCUGUUUGGUAGCGCCUUUGCCAAAACAUUUUCAAUCCGAUCGUCGCCAGGGGCCUUCUUGGACUUGAGUUUCUUUAUGUCUUCCAAGAUUUCUUGAAAAGUGAUUGGCGCCACAGGGUGCUCCAUCUGGUGGGUCUCAUUCAGCCUCUCAGUGACCAUCAUUGCUCUUCAACUAGAUGUCGUCCAGAAUGGUGUGAAUCUUUCUUCCAGGUUCGUCGCAAAAGCCUCCACUCUGUCCAUUGCUGUUCUUGCCCAUGAGCCGUCAGCCUUCCUUGCCUAAAAAACAAUGAAUGGCAAUAAAAAAUAGUUCGCGCCCAGACACAUUGGAAUUCGUAAUUCGAAUUUUAAAUCGUUGAAAACUAAAAAAAGAAAAAAAGACAACAAACACAAUACAAAAUGGAGAGACCAGAAAUUGGUGGCCUUAAAUACACGCAAGUCGAAAUGAACUGGCAUUAUAGUACUGCGGAUUUGCGGGGGUCCCGAAAUAAUUCCGUUAAUGUCGACCGGGGCAGAUCCAACUACAGCUCUAGUUUUAUUUCUGCAACCAAGGCGCCGCAACAAGGCGGAUUAAACUGGAAAAUCUGAAAGAGAUUGCUCGAAAAAUGCUGGAAGUCCAGAAAGAGCAGCAGAAAUUACAGGAUGACCACCAGCAAUCAAAGCGAGAGAUACUCCAGCCAAUUGCGAGCAUCUAAGGCCAAACCAACUUCCAACAGAGCUUCUGAAAUUUUUAAGGGAGUCCUAAGAGUAACGUUUAUUGUAUAUAUAUGGCCGAAUCUAAACGUUGCCGAAUCGGGUUGAAACAUUUAUUUUAUUGUUUUAUAACAAAAGGAACAUUUUUAGACCCUGAGACCUUUGAAAAUUAAACUUUUAUAAAUAAGCGCAACCUUAAUACGCGAUAAGUUGGUUUACAUAUGCUAAUAAAUUGUGAAUAUAAUUCAA